rnacentral:rRNA from 1 species
UGAUGAAGGCUUUAGGGUUGUAAAGCUCUUUUGUCCGGGAAGAUAAUGACUGUACCGGAAGAAUAAGCUCCGGCUAACUUCGUGC